rnacentral:rRNA from 1 species
GACGAACGCUGGCGGCGUGCUUAACACAUGCAAGUCGAACGGAAAGGCCCUGCUUUUGUGGUGUGCUCGAGUGGCGAACGGGUGAGUAACACGUGAGUAACCUGCCCUUGACUUUGGGAUAACUUCAGGAAACUGGGGCUAAUACCGGAUAGGAGCUCCUGCUGCAUGGUGGGGGUUGGAAAGUUUCGGCGGUUGGGGAUGGACUCGCGGCUUAUCAGCUUGUUGGUGGGGUAGUGGCUUACCAAGGCUUUGACGGGUAGCCGGCCUGAGAGGGGGACCGGCCAAAUUGGGACUGGGGUACGGCCCAGACUCCUACGGGAGGCAGAGGGGGGGAAAAUUGAAAAAGGGGCGGAAGCCUGAGGAAGCAACGCCGGGUGCGGGAUGACGGCCUUCGGGUUGUAAACCGCUUUCGCCGGGGACGAAGCGUGAGUGACGGUAAUGGGUAAAGAAGCACCGGCUAACUACGUG